CCUACGGGAGGCUGCAGUGAGGAAUAUUGGUCAAUGGGCGCGAGCCUGAACCAGCCAAGUAGCGUGAAGGAUGACUGCCCUACGGGUUGUAAGCUUCUUUUGUAGAGGAAUAAAGUGAGGCACGUGUGCCUUUUUGUAUGUACUUUAUGAAUAAGGAUCGGCUAACUACGUGCCAGCAGCCGCGGUAAUACGGAGGAUCCGAGCGUUAUCCGGAUGUAUUGGGUUUAAAGGGAGCGUAGAUGGGUUGUUAAGUCAGUUGUGAAAGUUUGCGGCUCAACCGUAAAAUUGCAAUUGAUACUGGAAGUCUUGAGUACAGUUGAGGUAGGCGGAAUUCGUGGUGUAGCGGUGAAAUGCUUAGAUAUCACGAAGAACUCCGAUUGCGAAGGCAGCUUACUAAACUGCCACUGACAUUGAUGCUCGAAAGUGUGGGGAUCAAACAGGAUUAGAUACCCGGGUAGUC
rnacentral:rRNA from 1 species